UAACACGUAGGUAACCUGCCCAUGUGCCCGGGAUAACUUCUGGAAACGGAUGCUAAAACCGGAUAGGUAGCAGACAAGCAUUUGACUGCUAUUAAAGUGGCCUUGGCCAUGAACAUGGAUGGACCUGCGGUGCAUUAGCUGGUUGGUGAGGUAACGGCCCACCAAGGCGACGAUGCAUAGCCGGCCUGAGAGGGCGGACGGCCACAUUGGGACUGAGACACGGCCCAAACUCCUACGGGAGGCAGCAGUAGGGAAUUUUCGUCAAUGGGGGGAACCCUGAACGAACAAUGCCGCGUGAGUGAGGAAGGUCUUCGGAUCGUAAAGCUCUGUUGUAAGAGAAAAACGGCACUCAUAGGGAAUGAUGAGUGAGUGAUGGUAUCUUACCAGAAAGUCACGGCUAACUACGUGCCAGCAGCCGCGGUAAUACGUAGGUGGCGAGCGUUAUCCGGAAUGAUUGGGCGUAAAGGGUGCGUAGGUGGCAGAUCAAGUCUGGAGUAAAAGGUAUGGGCUCAACCCGUACUGGCUCUGGAAACUGAUCAGCUAGAGAACAGAAGAGGACGGCGGAACUCCAUGUGUAGCGGUAAAAUGCGUAGAUAUAUGGAAGAACACCGGUGGCGAAGGCGGCCGUCUGGUCUGGAUUCUGACACUGAAGCACGAAAGCGUGGGGAGCAAAUAGGAUUAGAUACCCUAGUAGU
rnacentral:rRNA from 1 species